UUGAAAUCUUCUUCAUUUCAUUUUCAUAUAUUUGUCUGUGAGUGGUGUUUAAUAUUCUCUAGACCUCUUCUUCCUUCCAUCUAGACGAAAUUGCCGUUUCUUCUUGUUUUUGUCUGCUUUCUCCAGUUCCAAGCUUGAGCAAUGGCAAAGUGAGCUGUUUCCUCGUCUGGAAAGUUCGAAUUAAGCGCGAUUGCUAGAGUUCGUUUGGAUGGACUGAAUUUGGAGCCGUUUGGCAGGAGCUUGUGCUGUUUUCUGGGUUGGAACUUCGAAUGCAUUCUGAAGUUUUUCCUGAACUACGGGUGAAAUUGAGUUUGGCUCCUUUCUAGUUCCUACAUUUGCAGGUAUCACAACUCUUCUCUCAGUUUCAAUUCAAGCGUAUUUGAAUACUAUUUUGAAUUUCUUUCUGAUGCAUUACAAUAAUAGGCAUUGCUUUUUGUCCCUUGGCAAAUCUAGAUCCUUCAUCUUUUGUUUUGAUCAUGGCAGUAUUAACCUGUUGUGUGAAUGUCACUUCUUGUGAUUUAGCUAUAGGAUGAACAUAACUACAAUACAUAUACUGGCUUCCCUAUUAAGGAGUCUGAGUUGUGAAGUUAGUAUGAGCUUUGGUAUUUCUCUACCAAUAGAAGCUCUGACGCCUGAAUUCCUUGGGAUUGUCCCAGAAGUUUUGAUUCCUGUGGAUUCUGUCAGCAAUUAUUAACAUCUCGAUAGGCCAAGAAUUAGGCAUGGUUUGUAUAUAACGUAAUGGGAGGAUAUUACUCCGUAAUUGUAUGGUACGUUAGUUUCUAGUGAAGAUCUGGAUUGGCUAGCUUUGGUGUAGGGACAAGAAUCAACGGUUUGUCUAACUUCAAAACAAUUCCAAACUUGUCUGUUGAAUCCACCUCUGUGCCGUGUGCUAGUCUCCAUUCGAACGAGUGGAGUAACGAUGCCAGUACGUAUUUCAGCAUCUUGUCUGCCAUUGGAAGCCCUGCACAGACCCUCCUUCCUGUCCCAAACGGGAAAUACCGGUCACUGUUCCCCAAGUAAUCGAACUUGGCUGCAUUCUUGUCUAGGAACCUGUUAGGUCGGAAUUCCAGAGGACUGGUCCAGAGCUGUGGAUCCCUGUGGAUUGCAUAGGCGUUAAUGAUGAAUGUAACGCCUUUUGGAAUGGUGUAUUCGCUUAGUUUGCAGUCCUGGGUUGGGCAACGCAUGGCAAGCAUAGGCACCGCUGGAUGCAGGCGUAAUGUUUCCUUAACGACUGCGUCCAAGUAGCUUAGCUUCGGCAGAUGCAACUCUUCAACAGUAUUGCUUCUCCCUACUACCUCAUCUAGUUCUUUGUUGAUCUUUUGCAUUGCGUCUUGAUGCCGCAUCAGCAUUGCCAUCAUCCACUCUAUCGUCGUUGCUGUUGUGUCUGUUCCACCUAUAAUCGUAUCCUGUAAAUUGCAGGUCGUUAUUAUGUAGUUUGUGACUUAGUGUUUAUGGGGUAAAUAUGAUUAAACACUUACCACAAGAAUCCCUUUGAGUUGGUCGUCUGUAAUUGAUGAAGCAGCAUCUACACUGCUGUUUAGGUCUAGUAGAAUCUGCAAGAAGUCCUUUGUUUCUAUCAUUUCUCCUCCCAGCUUCCUCCUCUCAUUGAUUAUCGAAUCGAGAAUUCGAUCGAAACUCUGCUGUCCCUGCCUGGUUUUCCUCUCUAUCCCCUGCAGGUCAAAUCUGGCAAGUGCAGGAAUUAGGUCUGAGAUGUUUGGUGUUGACUGUAGCACAUUGAAUUCAUCCAUCAAUUUCCGAAUCUUCGAAAAGAAGAUCAUCCCUUCGCCUCCAUGGACAGUGCAUCCCAAGAGCAUGCUGAGGACAGUGUUUGAUACUGUCAUAAACACCAACUGACCAAAGUCCAAAGCUUUACCUUUUUUCUGGUAAACAUCCUUAACAGUUUUCUGAACUUCCCUCUCUCUCAGCACAUAGGAACUUUCAAGUCUUGUACUGCACAAAAGUUCGCGAACGAAUGUCUUGCGCAGCUUUCUCCAGUCAGGACUGUGUGAGCAGAAAGCAAUGUCAUUCCCACCAUAGCUGAUGAUUUUGGAAGCAAUCAGCGGGUCACGAUCUGCAAACGUUACGACCUGCUCUCGAACUUGUUUAGCUAGUGUUGGUGAGCCAAUCACCACGUACAUUUUGCUUCCGAGCCAGAGCUUGUAGACAGGGCCAUAGACUCCUGCCAGCUCUGUGAAGCUCUUGUGGAGUUCGGUGCUAAGAAACGGCAGGUAGCCAACUAUUGGUAACCCUCGUGGACCUGGUGGCAACUUCUCGUUGGCUGCUCUCUUGGGUAAUAACCAUAACACCGGGAUUAAUGCCACAAUGAGAGCUAUCACGACGAGUUCACCUAGUUGCGAAUCGUCGCUACUCGUUUCCGACCACCAUGACUCUAUUAUCGGGGAAUGAGGUAAUGUUAUAUUCUGCAAGCGAGACAUUGCUUUUUGGUGCUAUUAUACCAUAGUUAUGCUGAGAAAAGUGUGAACUUAUAUAGCAAGAAUAGUGUCCAUUUAUGGAUAGUAAAGUUUAGCUGGAGCAUCAUAUUACUGUCAGUGUUAGGUUCAACGCUCAUUAUCUGUGCAGUAUGGUAAUUAAAUUCAAUAGCUUCAAGGCUUACAAGUUGUUUAUUUUUUAUUUAAAUACUCAUGAAAAAAAUGUGUGUUUUUUCUUUCUUAUUUUGUCAGACUUUGAUUGACAAUUUGUUUGCAUAGUAAUCAAGGAAGCUUCUCACUGAGCAGGCUUAAAUGUCUACUUCAAAAUCACUGCAUUCGUAUGCAUAGUUUGUUGCUUCUUCUUCAAGCUAUUUGAUCAAGUAGCCAGAACCCUGCGUUUGCGGAGGAGUAGCUUAGGCAAUGGGUUAAGGGCUAGGUCUGAUGCUAGAUGGCCUAUGCUUCUAUGUAUUUACCGGGAUACCGAUAAUUCCGGAAGGUGACCUCCAACAAUACAUGCGGACUCUCAGUCGUGAAUGCUUAGUAUUUGCCUUGGUGCAUCUACCAAGCUCACAUGUCACAUGUAUCAGCAAUGAUAGCCUGCGACUCUUAUUUAGGAAGAGCAUAGUAGUUAUAGGUCUGUCCAUGCACUGUUCAUUUGGUUCUAGUGUAGCUCUAGAUUAGGCUAGCCUUCACAUGAUGCCAGAACGUGCGGAGCAGCAAUGCCAGACAUAUUUCAGCAUCCUUCUCCGCCAUCAGAGGCAGCGUCAGAUGCAGGCCAUAACUCUUCGAUGAUGUACACCGCGCAUCAGCUGUGCGGUGUGGGACCUCGAACUCAUUAUGUUCUUGGUUAUACCAGCAACCAGCUAAUGCUUACAAGUUGCUGCUGCUAUUAUAUCCUCCAUGACAAAAAUUGUGGGUGGAAACUUUGCCUUAAAUUGCAACAUCGAAACGUAUAGUGCAAUCUGGGUAGAUGUUGCUCGAUUAAGCAAGUCAAAAGAAAAAGCAACGGCUGAGAUCUUUGAAUGGUCGUUGGAAUGUGAUUGAGUUUGACAGUAGAAAUUUUCUUGUGUUGCUACGUCGCCAUUUUUAUACUGCCACACGUUUGUUAGGUAUGAACGCUCAUUUGGUUGGGGAGUUCAAAUUUAUAUUCCUUAAAAGUUAAAAUCUUGAUUGCGCCAUUGAACCACCAAACGUUUGAAGCUGAUGUGUGCGUAGAAUCAUAGGAUUUCGAAACAAGCUUGGAAUUCUGAUUUUUAUGAUGUGAAUUUCCUGUCAGUGUUAGGUUCAACGCUCAUUACCUCUGCAGCAUUUGCAGUGAAUUCAUUAUCAUCAUGGUUUUCAACUCUCAACCAACUUACAAGUUGCUGUUUCUUAUUUAAAUUAUUCAUAAAGAAAAUGUGCACACUGACAUAGUUCGUGGCUUAGGCAAUGGAUCAAUGGCUACGUUUGACGGUUAGCGGGUUGUGACUGUGUUAGCGGGUCGUAACGGUUCACAGUCGGCUAACCAGUUAGCAGGGCUGUGACCAUAAUGAUAAAUCUUAUAUAGUAUUAGUACAAACAUAGAAUGAUUUCCCAAGAGUGAUGAUGCUAGUUGCUAGAUGGCCUAUGCUUCUAUGUUCGAAUUCGGAUAACGAUAAUUCCGGAAAAUGAUCUCCAACACUAGAUUGUGUACACUCAGUGGUGAAUGCUGAACUUACUAGUAGUAGCGCCCAAGUACUAUAGGUAGCCUGUGGUGUAGGUUAGAUGAUUUGAUAGUUUCUCUAACUUCACAAGAAGCCAUAACGAUCUGAGCAGCGAUUCCAGGGUUAAAUCCUCGAUGAUGCUACGGUUUCACUGGGCAUCAGCUGCGCGGCGUGGGUCCUCGAACUAGUUAUUUUCUUGGUUAUACCAGCAACCAGCUAAUGCUUACAAGUUGCUGCUGCUGCUGCUGGUAGAUUUGAUUGAGACUGUGAUUGAGGAUUUGUUUGCAUUGUGAACUAGGAAAGUUUGCCUUAAAACUGUAGCAUCCAAAUGCAAAGUGUAAUUACUAAUUUGGGCACAUGUUCCUUGCUCAAGUAGUGGCUGUGGGGAGAUAUUUGGGCUGAGCCCAAUAUCUGGAUUUAAAAUGGGAGGCGGGCUCUCCAAUUUCGGCCCAUCAGUUUAAGUCACCCUUCUAUUGUGUUGCAUUUAUUCUCAGUCGGCACUGAAGUUACCGGCCGGCAGCUCUGGGAGAGUUUUUCGCGGCGGGGCUCAUUCGCUUAGAGAAGCAGGAACGGACGCUCGACCGGCGGUGGUAUUUCAUUCUACUGUAGAGGAGGACAUGCGAAUAAAAUAAGUAGAUUGGAGACGAUGAUCAAGUUGACGGGAAGUGAGCUGUUUUCCUGCCUGGCAAAGUUUGAGUUGAGCGCGAUUGCUAUGGUCCGUUUGGCUGGAUUGGAGUUUGGGCCGUUUCAAAGGAGCUCGAAUGUGUUGUGAUUUUCUAUUGAAUCAAGAACCAGGGUGAAUUACGGGUGAAAAUGAGUUAGGCUGUUUCUACAUCUGCAGUUAUCAAAACUCUUUUCUCUCAGUUUCAACUCCAGUAAAAAUGAAUGCCCUUGUGAAUAUCUCUCCGAUGCAUUAUGAUCAGAUAAGCAUUGAUUUUUGUCUCUUCGCAAUUCUAGAUCCUUCAUCUUUUUGUCCUGUUGCAUUGACAGUAUGAUCUUGUUCUGCCACUGUCGUCUGGUUCUGCAAUUUUUUAUAUAUAAACGUGGUUCUGUUUUUUUAUUUUUUUUUAUUUUGUAAACGUGGUUCUGCAAUUUCUUUAUGUAUAAAAGUGGUUCUGCAAGUUUUGUUGGAAUGGGAAAAGAUAAGGGUAUCUCUUAUGACUUAGCCUUAGGAUGAACAGAACCACAAUUCAUCUCCUGGCUUUCCUUUAAUGGGUGGAGUUCUGAAGUUGGUAUGAACUUCACCAUUUCUCCACCAAUAGGAACCUCUGAUGCCUGAAUUUUUCCAUAGGAUUCCUGUGGAUUCUAUCAGCAUUUAAUGACGUCUGAGAUAGGUCAAGAAUUAAGCAUGGCAUAUCUACCAGGCUCCCGUGGCACAUGUAUUGGCAAUGAUGUCCUGCGUAUUUUAUUUGGAAGAAUGCAUUAGUAAUUUGAAAUACAAAUAGGGAGGAACAUUGCUCCAAUACAUGGUAGUUCAUUAGUUUUCUAGUAAAGAUCUGGAUUGGCCAGCUUUGGUGUAGGGACAAGAAUUAGCGGUUUCUCCAACCUCACGACAAUCCCAAACUUAUCCGUCAAAUCCACCUCUGUCCCCUGUGCUAGCUUCCAUUCAAACGAGUGGAGUAACGAUGCCAGAACGUAUUUCAGCAUCUUUUCCGCCAUUGGAAGCCCUGCACAGACUCUCCUUCCCAUUCCAAAUGGGAAAUACUUUGAACUGUUCCCCAAGUAGUCCAACUUGCUUGCAUUAUUCUCGUCUAGGAACCUUUCAGGUCUGAAUUCCAGAGGGUUGGUCCAGAGCUUUGGAUCCCUGUGGAUUGCAUAAGCGUUGAUGAAUACAGUGACGCCCUUUGGAAUGGUGUACCCCCCUAGUUUGCAGUCCUGGCUGGGGCAACGUGGAAUCAGCAUCGGCAGUGCCGGAUGCAGGCGGAAUGUUUCCUUAAUCACAAGAUCCAAGUAGUGUAGUUGCUGCAGAUGUAACUCUUCGACUACACUUUUUCUUCCUACUACCUCGUCUAGUUCCUUGUAGAUCUUUUGCAUUGCGUCUGGAUGUUGCAUCAGCAUUGCCAUUGUCCACUCUAUCGUUGUUACUGUUGUGUCUGUUCCGCCGAUAAUCGUAUCCUGUAAAAUAUGGGCAGCACUGAGUUUUGCGUAGUGGUUGUAUGCUGAUGUGCCAUCAUGCUUAAUGGUCUUUACGUUAGUUGUCUGUCAGAUAAUAUACAUGAACACUUUACCAGCAGAAUGCCCUUGAGUUGACUGUCUGUGAUUGACAAUGCAGCAUCUCCUCCAUGGCUGUUGAGAUCCAGGAGAAUCUGCAAGAAAUCCUUCCCAUCUUUGAAUUCACCUCCCAAAUCCGAAACCAGCCUCCUCCGCUCGCUGAUGACAGAAUCGAGAAUUCGAUCCGAUUCCUGUUGCAGCUUCCUGGAUCUCUUCUCUAUCCCCUGCAAGUCAAACCUGGCAAGUCCCGGAACGAAGUCUGAGAUGUUCGGUGCAGCAAAUAGCAUCAUCUGCUCACCUGCCAACUUCUUAAUUUUGGCAAAGAACAUCUCGUCUUCUUCCCCAUGGAUCGUACUUCCCCAGAGCAUGCUCAAGACAGUGUUUGAUACCGUCAUGAACACCAACUGGCCAAAGUCCAAACCUUUACCUCUUUUCUCAUACACAUCCUUAACAACCCUCUGAACUUGUUGCUUCCUCAGCAAGUAAGAACCGUCCAUCCUGGCAUUGCUUAACAACUCACGCACGAAGAUCUUCCUUAGCUUCUUCCAGUCGGAACCGUAGGAUGUGAACCCGAUGUCAUUCCCACCGUGGGUGAUUAUCUUCGCAGCAAUCGGUGGAUCUCGAGCUGAAAAUGUUACGUCCUGGUCGCGAACUUCUUUAGCUAGCGACGGUGAGCCGACCACCACGUACAUCUUGUACCCUAGCCAGAGCUUGUAGAUAGGGCCGUAGGUUUCGGCCAGCUCUGUGAAGCUCUUGUGGAGAUGGGUGCUUAGAAAUGGCAGGUACCCUACUAUUGGCAACCCACGGGGACCCGGUGGCAAUGAUGUUUUGUUGGAUGCUCUCUUGAGUAACCAUAUCGCCAUGAUCAAUGCUGCGGCGAGAGCUGCCACUAUGGCAGCUCUUGAAUCGCUGCUCCACCAUGACCGUAGGCGGAUGAGCUCCAUUUUUCGACCUGUGAGAGAUUUUGGGUUAGCUUUGAUGGGUGGAACCAGUUGGUUUGUGUAGAGAAUUGUAGGAAGAGGAUAUGGAAUAAACUCGAAGCAAUUUUUGAGGCUCAACGCCACAAGUGUUUGAAGACCAUGAAUUUUGUUCUUGAUUUUUAUCUGAAGUUGUCCAUAUUUUAGACCGACAGUGACAACGUUUGUACUUGAAUCAUAAGAUUGCCGAUAUGUUUGGUUGGCCAAAAUGAAGUUGUCUUAAACUUUGCUUCUUCCUCUUGAUCUCGGCACUGUAUGAUUUCUAAUUGUUGCCUUUGUAAGUUUGUUCAGACAUGGCGGGUGAUCGUGUCCAAACUCUGAAGUUCUUUGGAGGCUAUCUUUUUCAGAUUUGGUAAUCCAAUUUUUGUGUUCAUACCUAAUUGGGGAUGUCACUUUGCGGCAGCGAAAAAUGCAUGCAUCCGCAUCCAGACAACUCAGCUCGAAAUCUGCCUAAAAAACGACACCUUAGACAACUCCAGAAUAUUACGAGUAAAUUCAUGCAAGUAUAAUUUUUUUUUUCUCUUUGCAGUUUCAAUUCCCGCGAUUAUGAAUUCUAUUGUGAUUGUGAAUAUACUCGCAAAUCUAGAUCCUUCAUCCGUUUGGCAUGACUGUAUGAACUUGUUGUGUGAGUGCCAUCUGGUUCUGCAAAGUUCUUGUUGGAAUAGAUAAAGAUAAGAGCAUCACUUAUGACUUUGCAUAAGAUGAACAUAACCACUACGAAUCUCUUGUGGGUUUCCCUUUUAAUGAGUGGAAGUGUUGUGAAGUUAUAGUACGAACUUGAGCAUUUCUCCGCCAAUCGAAGCUCUUUGCACGACUGUUAGGAAAACUCUGAGGCCUUUGAUUCCAUCAGCAUUUCAUAACAUCUGAGAUGUGUCAAGAAUUAGGCAUAGCAUAUCUACCAGGCGCAUUUUAUUUCAUUAGUAAGAUCAAGAAUUAGCCAUGAUCGAUGAUGCGACGAGAGCUACCACUAUGGCAGCUCUCGGAUUGUCGCUGCUGUACCAUGACCAGAGGCUGUGGAGCUUCAUUUUUGGGUUAGCUUUGAUGGAUGGAAGGAACCAAUUGGUCUGUGUAGAGACUUAUGGGAACAGGACAUGGAUUUAAGCAAUUUGUGAGGCUCAAUACCACAAGUGUCUGAGGACCAUGAAUUUUUUCAGAUGCAGAUUGAUAGUGACAACUGAAAACGUUCAUAUCUGUUUGAAUGAAUGAUACAGUAUGUUCGAAGGUUUAUACAUUAUUUUAACAGUAUUUUAACAGACGAGUACGUUCAAAAGUUCGAUAUCAGUUAUAAAACUAUAAAAAUUUACAAAGAUAACGUUGUUAUUAAGAUCAAUUACAGCAGGGAGGAACGUUGUUGCUCCAUACAUUGUAGUUUCAUUAGCUGCUAGUACAGAUCUAAAUUGGCCAGCUUUGGUGCAGGGACAAGAACCAGCGGUUUCUUUAACUUGACAACGACUCCAAACUCGUCUCUCAAAUCCAC
rnacentral:lncRNA from 1 species